UGGCGUACACUUUUUAUAUUCGCGAUAAUCACAUAUCUAAACGAUUUGAACUUCAAUGUAGUAUUUUGAAAUUUCACUUACUUAUUGAUUAAUCUAGUGUUUAUGAUUGCCUAUGUAGAAGAAUAAUUGAGCAUAUUUUUUGUUAGCUGCUGUAAAUUUGGUUCAUCCGCAGUCUUUCACUCUUGCAUGACAUAAAAAUGAAAUGUAUCCGCAUCCAGAUAUGUGUAUUUUUCAUGAUGAUAAUUCUGAUCGAUGUUCGAGCUUGGAUCCAUGUAUUACAAGCAUUUCCUUUUCCAGCAUUUCCUUUUCGAGCACUACCACUGCGACUUCCAAAGCUGCGAUUUGUGCUUCCACCAAUACCACCACCUCCACUACUCCCGCGCUGGCACUUGUGGAAACCUAAAGCACCAGCACCACCAGCUCCGCGCCCUAUAACAACAGAACUACCAACUUCGAUUCCGACGCCUUAUGCAAUACCUUUAAAACCAUCGCCAAAGCAGAAAAGGCCGACAGAAUGGUGGAAGUUCGAUUAGAAAAGAAAGCCACCAUAACAAUAUUGUAGCCUAUCUAGUAUCAGAAUAGGCUGAAAAUAUUAUAAUGCUUUAGACUCAUCUUCAAAUAUGGCGUAGGUACUGAUUUGGUUCCCGCAGACAAAGUAAUGAAAUCAAGAAAAUUAACAUUUUUUUCUGUAAUUUAAUAUUAUUAAAAAUUCUCUUUUGAACUAGCUUUUCUGGGAUUUUUCGCGGUAACCACCUAAAAUAGUCGUGCUCAAAAAGCACAGAUCAAAGUUAUGAGUGCUAAAGUUCACUUUUGGCCUUUCCGAAGUAAAUUGCUGGCUGAAGGCUCCAGAAUGACCCAAAAGGCCGAAAAUGCAGGUAAAUUUUGAUGUGAGGAGUUGAAGAAAUUAUUCGCGUUGAUUCGCUGUGCUCGAAAAAGUUUCUAUUUCGUGGAAAAGUUUAAAAAUCGCUCUUAAAACAGCUUUUUAUAAUUUUUUAAAUCUUCAAAAACUCGCAAAAAAAUCCAAAAAUGUACUCGAGCACUUGAAAUUUUGGUUACGGGGAUUCUAGGAAAUGCUCUUUCUAUAAUCUAGUUUGGUUUCGUUCAAAUUGAAGAGAGAGUUCAAAAGGUUCCUUUAUAAGCAUGUUUUUAUCUUGUGUUCUUCGAUGGGCAUUUGUGAUUAUUUUUUUAAUCAAUGUACAGCAAUUUUAUACUUUCAGUGUCAAAUUGAUAUCUCAUUAUUAAGUGGAUCAAAAAAGAAAGUGUUUGGAUGAGGGCGACAUCAUAAAUUUUCCUGCAAUAUGGCUCGUCAGAAGUCAGAAAUACUUUGCCUAUUUAAGAGAAGGAGUAUUUGGUGAGCCCAUUUGGAAAUCAUCGUCAACAAGGUCAAUAGCUCAAAAUAUCAAUUUCGAUCCACUUCCAAAUGGGCUCACCAAUCGCCCUCAAAUGGUUGAUGGGUAGGAGAUAAGAAUGGAGGGGGGCGGUUGGCGAAUUCAAAUUUUUUCCCAGCUUUAUUCAACUUUAUUUUCAUAUUUUGCAUUCCUUUUUCAAUUUUUGUAUUUUUAAUAUAUAUUUUUUUUUCAU